GAUGAAGAACGUAGCGAAAUGCGAUAAGUAAUGCGAAUUGCAGAAUUCAGUGAGUCAUCGAAUCUUUGAACGCACAUUGCGCCCUGUGGUAUUCCGCAGGGCAUGCCUGUUCGAGCGUCAUUUCAACCCUCAAGCCCCGCUUGGUGUUGGGCCCCGCCCGCCGUGGCCGGCCCUAAAGACAGUGGCGGCGCCGCCUGGCCCUCAGCGUAGUACAGCUCUCGCUCCAGGGUCCGGCGGCCGCCUGCCAGAACCCCCCCAACUCUGUGGUUGACCUCGAAUCAGGUAGGGAUACCCGCUGAACUUAAGCAUAUCAAUAAGCGGAGGA
rnacentral:misc_RNA from 1 species